rnacentral:rRNA from 1 species
GGGGGCCCGCACAAGCGGUGGAGCAUGUUGGUUUAAUUCGAAGCAACGACGAAGUAACCUUACCAGGUCUUGACAUCCCGAUGCUUAUUUCUAGAGAUAGAAAGUUACUUCGGUACAUCGGUGACAGGUGGUGCAUGGUUGUCGUCAGCUCGUGUCGUGAGAUGUUGGGUUAAGUCCCGCAACGAGCGCAACCCCUAUUGUUAGUUGCCAUCAUUCAGUUGGGCACUCUAGCGAGACUGCCGGUAAUAAACCGGAGGAAGGUGGGGAUGACGUCAAAUCAUCAUGCCCCUUAUGACCUGGGCUACACACGUGCUACAAUGGUUGGUACAACGAGUUGCGAGUCGGUGACGGCGAGCUAAUCUCUUAAAGCCAAUCUCAGUUCGGAUUGUAGGCUGCAACUCGCCUACAUGAAGUCGGAAUCGCUAGUAAUCGCGGAUCAGCACGCCGCGGUGAAUACGUUCCCGGGCCUU